CCUACGGGAGGCAGCAGUAAGGAAUAUUGGUCAAUGGACGCAAGUCUGAACCAGCCAUGCCGCGUGAAGGAUUAAGGUCCUCUGGAUUGUAAACUUCUUUUAUUUGGGACGAAAAAGGGCCUUUCUAGGUCAACUGACGGUACCAGAUGAAUAAGCACCGGCUAACUCCGUGCCAGCAGCCGCGGUAAUACGGAGGGUGCAAGCGUUAUCCGGAUUCACUGGGUUUAAAGGGUGCGUAGGCGGGUAGGUAAGUCAGUGGUGAAAUCCUAGAGCUUAACUCUAGAACUGCCAUUGAUACUAUCUAUCUUGAAUAUUGUGGAGGUAAGCGGAAUAUGUCAUGUAGCGGUGAAAUGCUUAGAUAUGACAUAGAACACCUAUUGCGAAGGCAGCUUACUACGCAUAUAUUGACGCUGAGGCACGAAAGCGUGGGGAGUCAAACAGGAUUAGAUACCCUGGUAGUCCACGCCCUAAACUAUGAUUACUCGACAUUUGAGAUACACAUUAAGUGUCUGAGCGAAAGCAUUAAGUAAUCCACCUGGAAGUACGUCCGCAGGAUGAAACUCAAAUGAAUUGACGG
rnacentral:rRNA from 1 species